rnacentral:rRNA from 1 species
CCUACGGGAGGCAGCAGUGAGGAAUAUUGGUCAAUGGGCGCGAGCCUGAACCAGCCAAGUAGCGUGAAGGAUGACUGCCCUACGGGUUGUAAACUUCUUUUAUAAAGGAAUAAAGUGAGGCACGUGUGCCGUUUUGUAUGUACUUUAUGAAUAAGGAUCGGCUAACUCCGGGCCAGCAGCCGCGGUAAUACGGAGGAUCCGAGCGUUAUCCGGAUUCAUUGGGUGUAAAGGGAGCGUAGAUGGGUUGUUAAGUCAGUUGUGAAAGUGUGCGGCUCAAACGUAAAAUUGCAGUUGAUACUGGCAGUCUUGAGUACAGGUGGGGUAGGCGGAAUUCGUGGUGUAGCGGUGAAAUGCUUAGAUAUCACGAAGAACUCCGAUUGCGAAGGCAGCUUACUAAACUGCCACUGACAUUGAUGCUCGAAAGUGUGGGUAUCAAACAGGAUUAGAUACCCCAGUAGUC